GUACCAUCAGUAUCUACCUGGAGUUUUAUAGCUGGGGCAUCUUUUUAUCUUUUUUCGAGGAAUCAGUUUGGAGAUGAAGUUGGAAGAGCCUACAAGUCCAC